rnacentral:sRNA from 12 species
GCCGGGCUGCUGUAAAAAUGCAAACCAAUGCAUUUUUCCCCUGGAAAGGGGUUGGCAGCAAGCGGUAUCAUGCAAAAUGCAGGGAUACCGCAGAAGUGCCAGCAUAUAGCUGGUAAA